GCACCGUUGGUCUAAAGGCUGAUGAUGCGGCGUUGCCUGCGCUGCGAUGCCGGUUCAAAUCCGGCACGGUGCU
rnacentral:tRNA from 1 species